AUUCAACACAUUUACCUUUCUUCACUCUUACAACAAAACACAAAACACAUUCCUAUCAACUCUAUUUCCAUUCAUCUUCUCUCCAUCAAAGAAUUCAAAAGACAAUCAAAUAUUCUACUCUAUCACUUCUUGUUUCCACAUUUUUUGUUGAAAGAUCUUCACGGAAUGGGGUUGUUAGGUAUCAUAUGUCACAGUUUUACAAUGGUCCUCCUCCUAGAAACAACAAGAACUAUGUAAUCGUUGUCAUGCAUCACUACGUUAUGUCAUUGAGAGGACAUUUGGAGUUUGGAAGAAGAUAUGGAGGAUUCUUUGUGAGUUUCUUAGAUAUGACACUCAUGUUAAAAAAAGAGUGGUGAUGGCUAUAAUGGGACUAUAUAACUUUAUCAGAAUUUCAAAUUAUUUUGAUGAAAACUUUGUUGAAGUAAUAGAGCAUACUAAUAUUAGCGACACAAAUUCAGAGAAUGGCGAAGGUGACAUGGAGACUACGGCUAUUGUUGAUGGAGAUCAAAUGACAAACAUUAGAGAAAAUAUUGCAGAUAUGUUAUGGAAAAAUCAAAAUACUUUUCAUUAAACUAUUCUAAGUUUUA